UAGAGUUUGAUCCUGGCUCAGGACGAACGCUGGCGGCGUGCUUAACACAUGCAAGUCGAACGGAAAGGCCCUGCUUGCAGGGUACUCGAGUGGCGAACGGGUGAGUAACACGUGGGUGAUCUGCCCUGCACUUCGGGAUAAGCCUGGGAAACUGGGUCUAAUACCGGAUAGGAGCCAUUUUUAGUGUGAUGGUUGGAAAGUUUUUCGGUGUAGGAUGAGCUCGCGGCCUAUCAGCUUGUUGGUGGGGUAAUGGCCUACCAAGGCGGCGACGGGUAGCCGGCCUGAGAGGGUGGACGGCCACAUUGGGACUGAGAUACGGCCCAGACUCCUACGGGAGGCAGCAGUGGGGAAUAUUGCACAAUGGGCGCAAGCCUGAUGCAGCGACGCCGCGUGGGGGAUGACGGCCUUCGGGUUGUAAACUCCUUUCGCUAGGGACGAAGCUUUUUGUGACGGUACCUAGAUAAGAAGCACCGGCUAACUACGUGCCAGCAGCCGCGGUAAU
rnacentral:rRNA from 1 species